GCCACAGUCACAAAGCCAAACGGGAGAAAGGACCAGAAUGUGAGGGAAAAGAAAGCAAACCAGGGAAGCAAAACGCAUGCCAACUGUUUGCUUGUCAAGAAUAAUGCAAAAUUCCUUCCAAAUGGAAUGAUAACUGUUUGGUAUGUCCAUACUAAUCAUUACCCAAGCCGAAAAGAGAUGCAACAUUUACCAAUUCCGGGCAAUGUCAAAGAGAUGGUCUCACAAAAACCAGCAAUGGGUGUGACAACAGAAAGAAUUCUUGAAUAUAUAUGGAGUGGCAUAGUCAACAGAUGUGAGAAUCACCAUUCAAUGAGCUUGUGAAACGAGAACACAUGCUUUAUCACCAGACAGGAUGUUCACAACUUGGAAUGAUCAAUGUCAGAGCUCAACCACUCUAAUGAUGCACAAUCUGUCAAAUCAAAUGUUGAAAAACUUGCCACAGAACCAUUCAAUCCAGUGUUGGACUACAAGGAGUUUGGCAUGCACGAUAACAACUUUCCUAAUUUACCUACAGACUCGUUUCUCCUGAUACUACAAACGGAACAUCAGAAACAAAUGUUUCAGAGACAUAUAGUGCACGAGUUGUCUGUGUUGAUUCAACACAUAAUACGAACCAGUAUGACUACAAGCUCAUCACAAUGAUGAUAAGAGACGAUUACGGUCAAGGGAAAACUGUAGCUUGGGCAAUCAGCAGCAAAGAGGAAACUGCAUACACGGUCUACUUUUUCGAAGCUGUGAAGAAAGCAUACCUGAUGCAACAGUUGCAACUUUGAUGAGUGAUGAUGACAAUGCUGUGUGGUCUGCUGCCAAAAGUGUAUUUAGUACUGGCAUCAAACACCUUCUUUGCAAGUGUCAUUUUGACAGAAACAUUCGCAAGAACUUGUACUGUAAAGUAAGAAACAAAGAGGACCAAGUAGCUAUAUACAAGAGCUUCUACAUCAUUUUAAACGAAACAGAUAAAAGUAAGUUCCAUCAAUAUCUGAAUUCAUUCAUGAAGACAUGGUCUACCAAACAACCAAAAUUUAUGGAGUAUAUCAGAUUACAUUACAACUGCAGACCAGAAAAGUGGGCCAUGGCAUACAGAGACUCUGACCACGCAGACACUGAUACAAACAUGGUCGUUGAAAAUUUCCAUAGCAAGCUGAAAAGACACCCUUCAUAUCUUGCAAACAUAGCUAAUAGGAGAAUAGACCAUCUGAUCAAUGUGCUGCUGAAAAUAGAAGAAAGCGAGUUCUUUAGAUUCUCAAAAAGAAGAGCACUGGAAUUCAGCCAAACGUUGGACACAAAAAGAAGAGUCACAACAUCACCGGGCAAUGAUGAUUAGUGACACUGAUGUAGGAUUGUGGCGAUAGUAAUUGGAGAGUCAAGUCACAGUCAAUUCCAGGGAACAUCUACACUAUCAAAAAGCUUAGACAAGCAUGUCCUCAGUCUCAUUGCACCUCCUUCAAUUGCCCCAUGUGUGGAUGCUGUCGGGAUAUGUACGAAUGCAGUUGCUUUGACUUUGCUACUGGUCAUCUAUGUAAACAUAUUCAUAAAAGUAUGCGCCAUAUCUACCAGCCAUUCUACACAUCCUGAUGAAGACACUGCAGAGAAUGAUUGUGAAGCCAUCCUCAAGCUCAAGGUCAAUAGUAAAAACCCAACGGUUCUUUCUGUACCAGCAGAAAACCCACAAAUAUCUUCCAAAGCAAGUGCAACACAACUCAAUUUGGUGACAACACUUUGUCACACGAUAUGCCAAAGAAUUGAACAAGGCAAUUUUAACAUUAUGUAUUUACCAAAUGUGCUGUCUCACCAGAAUUAACAAGCAGACUUGAUCAGCAUACACUAUCUACAGCAAUGUCCAAGAAAACAAAAACAGUGGCUCCAGGAAAGAAGAAUGAACAGCAAGUCAAAGGAUUUUAUAGAGUGUCAGUAAAGAAAGGCAGAAAACGAAUGACAGAUGUGUUAUGAGCUCCAGACCUGCCAGAAGCAAAAAGGAUAAAAGAUAUUGUCCUUAGGGUAAGUUUCAUACCUAGUUCUAAUUAAUGACAUUUCAUGACAUUGCAACAACAGACUUAUUGACAUGACACAGACCAUUUCCACAUGUUGACUGAUGAUGAACCUGAAGCAUCUGAAUGUUCCAUGGUAGGUGUUGUACAUCUACAGUUCGUUUCUUUCAACAAACCAAUUCGAAAGAUAGCACCUGUUCAUUGCAUUAUAGCUGCAGGUGUCUGAUCAUACUUAUGCAAGAGCUAGUCCUGCUGCUGUAAGCAACAAUACCUCACUACCUAGAGAAGACUUCUUCAUAACUGACAUUCAUGUAGCUGUAGGUAAGUGACCAUACUUAUGGACUGGCUGUUGACACCCCUACAGCGAUUAGAAGACCUGUUCCUACCCCUCAUCCUGUGCAAGUUGGCAAAGGAACAAAGAUUGAUUGGUUAGCAAAAAGAAUGAGAAAGCAGAUGGAAGAACGCGGAAACAAUCAGUUUGUAUAAUGUGGUUUAAUUAAAUAUAUCAGCAUUUUUGUGG